CAAUCUAGCAGGGCCACAACAAGUGUGGUAAACGCAAUGAGAGGGAAAUGUGCAGAGAAAGCAUCUCACCCACAGUCAGGGCGGAAAUGACGCCUAAGCUAGGACCUAACUUCAGAAAGGAAUAAGUACAGGAAGAGAAGUACACAAGAUGCCAGGGGAAUCAGAAGCAACCAGCAUCCUCAGGAGAGCACUCUUUUGGUCAUUUGCUCAUCUCCACAGUACAAGGAGAAAAUACUGGAGAAAACACAGCGGGUGUAUUUCGGCAUGCGACCGCUUGGUUCCCCGGCUUUCCUUCACCUCAGCCCUAAUCUCUCAUUUCAAAAACUGACUUCACGCUGUUGUCAGCUAUGUCCCUUCCGCCACCUGCUGCAGGUGGCUGGGGUCUGAGGAGGUUUGACCUUCACACCCGCACCAGGGAGAGGUCCUUGGUUCCUUUCAACCACGAUGCGUCCCGUGUGCUUUGAAAUGGAUUUAUAGUUUUGGCUAAAAACUUGCCUUCUCCGCAAUAAUGAGAAUCUAAAUUGACUAAACACACGUUCUGAAACUCUGGCGUUCCCACACCGGGAGUCGAACCCGGGCCGCCUGGGUGAAAACCAGGAAUCCUAACCGCUAGACCAUGUGGGAAACGACAAGAAGCCUGCCAAAUCUAGACAAAUUGAGUCUUCUCGGUCGGCUUCCGCCUGCUCCAUCACGUUCAUCCGUAGCUACGCGUCAAACCUCCUCCUAAGCCUGCGCGGAGUCUACAGCUGUUUAAACUGCUCCGGUUCGUAUUCUCUCCUUGCAGGGGCCUUUGAAUCUUUCUUCAAUCUAUACUCGCGUCUUUGGUGAUCUCAUCCAGUCUCCUGGUACUAGGUACCAUGUCGACACCAAUGUAGACACUAGAUUGGAUGAGUCAUUGUUCACAAUUCCUCGCAAGAGCUCCUGCAAAGCCCGAAAGAACUGGGGUUUGAACGUUAGAGGCUGGUAAAGAAGUGAGGACUGCGGGGCGAUGUAACACCGCGCAGUGGAGGCCACGCUGCACUGGCCAGUGUCCCCCGACAGG
rnacentral:tRNA from 1 species